UAUCAUACCUUACUUGUCACCUCGUCAUCUGCAAAGGUGCAAUAAACUAUUCUACUUGCGUUACUUUUGUAAAGAUAAUAAGAUUAGUAGUAAUUUUUACUUCUAGGUGGCGCUACCAACGUCAAGGUAGCGUUCGGGUGUGUGUGCGCACGCGGUUGCAACCGUUGUAGCUUCGUUUUGAGCACACUUUUUCAACAGUACACAUCGUUACCGCUAGUUUCGUAGUCGCAUCUUUUGGUCGUAGUAUUUAUUGUUUACGCUACAAAUUAGGUUGUUCUUAAAAAUUUAUGAAGGUUAGUUGAUGAAAAAUUAUUGCUAAUUAAUUAGCGGUUUUUAAGUGCCGUUAUUUUGUGUUUGAAAGAUUUUUAUAACUGAAUACGAUAGUGAAGCUGUGAACGGCUUUCGGGCUCCGUCAGUUGGUUGCCGUUGCGUGGUGGUUCACGCCUCGUGCUUUUUGAUGAAGGUAUUUUUUCCUUUUCGGUCAUCAUGACGCACAUUUUAGUGAAAUGCUUUAACGAAGAUAAGUGGAACGUUUAUCCGUUGAAGUCGUUGGCUGACUCAGCUACUAGUCUUCGACUGAUGUGCGAGCCUGGCUGUUUUGCUGAGUUGCGCGGCAGAGGUCAUGAUGCCUGUUGGAGAGAAGGCACCCCGAAACAGUCGCAGCCGAAGUUCUGCAGAUAGGUUACGCAUGCAGCAAAUGCCCAGAUGCUAAAGUGUUCUACGUCAAGAGCAGCUUGGCGUCGUGCAAGAGACACCCGUUGAUAUGUGGCUGAUUCACUAGCAAGCUCGCAUCUCUGUUGCCACUGUACAUCAAGUGGGAUUUUUAACUAUUUUUUUCUGCUGCUCUGUGGUGUACUAGCUGCCGCGCAUGGACGCAGUGAAGGCUUUUGAUUUGCUCUGGCUUGUAGUAGUAAAGGAUGGGCUACCUUUUGAGGGGAGGUAUUUCCUUUUGCUUGCGAGAAUGUUUACCUGCCUAACCAAGUGAUACGUGCGUACUGGAAACAGCAGCGCGAACAGAGACGGACGACGAAAUAGGUAGGAGCACACACGAGCGCAAGUUCAACUAAGUUUAUUUUUGAAGACAGAGGUAUUAAAGACGCUGGUCAACUUGACAAAGGUAAAGAGCCGUGCAUGCGUGGCAGAAACAGCCGCGAGCGACAAGAAAAAAAAUGAAAAAGCCAUGUCAUGUAGAAUAAACGUGCGUGAAAAGCGAGAACUAUCGGACAAAUCUUUCGAAAAAGUGAAAUAUUUGUUCGAUGAGUGAUACUACCCAACGAGAAAUACUCUUGAGAACUGCAAGUCUUUCCCACUAAGGGCAACAGAUAACUUGCUUAUGUAUUUGUUUCGUUUGUGAUCAAUAAAUAUUGCUGCUGGAACUCCUCUGGUGUUGAGGUAUAGAGCAGAAAGAACGGUUGUUUCAUCACAAAGACCAGAACACAAGAGGACUUAUGGAAGAAUUAUUUAUUGAUCACGAAGAAAAAUUCAUAAGCAAGAUUUCUGUGACUCUAAGUGGGAAAGAGUUGCAGCAUUAUUUCUCGUUAAUAUGACAGGACAAACCUUUCAGUUUUCAUGUGUUUUUUUUUGUUUUUGACGCAUAUGUUUGUUCUACAGGACAUGUCUUCCGGUCCUUUUUUGUUGUGCCGGGCUGUUUCUGCUGCACAUCCAUGGCUUUUUCUUUGUGAAGUUAGCCAAUUUGUUUAAAAUGUUUGUCUUCACGAAUAAACUUCUUGUUGAGUCAGCGUUCGUGUGUGUUCCUACCUUAAUUCAUCCUUCUCGUUUCUGUUUGUGUGAUUGUCAAAUAUAAAUGUACACCGAAUUGGCGAAGUGUCCAUAGAAUUUAUACAUGAAAUAUUUGCGCUGUUUAUUUCAGGAAGAACGCUAUAGGGUCUUCUCUGUUUUUAACACUGAUGUACAUUUUUCUAGUUCAAUUUCAAGGAGUCCCCUGAGGAAGCCAAUAAGAGUGUUGGUAACUUCAUUUGUGUAAGAUUUAUGAAUCUCAUCCAUUCAAGGUAUGACAUGUCACAUGCCUGUAGGUAUGCAAGUAUUCGUACUUUUUAAACAUACUAAGUUCUAGUUUUCGGUUCUCAUGACGCUGCUUUGUACUGUGCUGCAUUCUCCAGUCGCAGGAACCUUCUUUUAUACCGUCAGUGCAUGGGUUCUUUUUGUAUAUAUUGGAGAAACAAUUGUCUUGAGCUUAAAUAUGCAUGUAUAUCACUUGUAAUUUUCUUUCAACACGGGUGCUGUAUCUCCCUCCGUCUUUCUUACUGCUUUGUCCCAAUUUUUAUGCAACUUUUAUGUAUUUUAUGCAAUAAAAUUCUGGUAGCAUUUUAAUAUUUUACCUGCGUAAUUGAGGUCAUUGGUUUUUCGCAUACGCAUUUAUUUCCGUUUUUCACUGUCUCACCACUCUGGGUGUCCAGUCAUUGAAACCUUUUCCCAUCCUUUAUGACUAUUUCUGGGGUACUUGAUACUGCAAGUGCAGGUGACCAUCUAUUUGGCUCUUUGGAAUUGUGUUAGCCGUGUGUUCCUACCAAUUUUCUGUGCUAAAUAAUUAUUUUUUCUCUUAUCGUUCAAGGUAUUAGCCUUGCCUUAUCUCUUUAUUGACUGAGGUACCACUUAGUUGCUGGGUAUGGUGAAAAAGGCCCCGAAAAGUGCUCUAAUUAGCUUUGUGUGAGUCCAGAAAAAUUAACUGAAAAUGAGCUCACUAAAUUGAGGAAAUACCACCAACAAACUCUUCUGUACCUCAAUUAAACAUAUACAAAUGGUGUACUGUUCUUGCAAACCUGGCUCGUCAGAAACAUGAUUCAGGUGUUCACCAUGCCCGACAACUUUCUAAAUGAUGUCUCAUCAAUUAAUAGCUAAGUUGAGUGAUGUUAUUUUAUAAAAUAAUUGGGCAACCUGAAAAUAUGUUUAUCUCGAAGACAAAAAGCUCAGACAAGUCUACUUUGGUACUUCAUUAAAUUUUAAUCGCGGUGAAAGACGUGUGCUAAAGCUUGUAUAUAUUUACGUGAAGUCAUUUGUUUCAAGUCUGUUAUUUUGCCUUCUCACAGUCAGCCGUAACUUUUCCUGUGAUGGGUUAGUGUGCGAAACAUGUUAAUAUAACGUAUUCAGAUGUCUUGUGUGUAUCCACACGCAAUCAGCUUCAAGUGUUCAUGUGUUCAAAGUUGGUUGUUACAAGGGUAUGCUUAAGCCCUGCCUUUUGAGUCGCUUUGCCUUCUAGUCAUAAACUUAAGUCGAAAGUAAAGACCACAAUGAUCGUUUUGAUUGAAUUCAUAUGUAUAGGUUUUUUUCAGAUGUAUUUACACUGCUAGAGUGGUGUAGGUACGAGCCUAUGUCUCCAGGUUCGAUGUAGUGGUCUCUUAUGUACUGUAAUAAUGUUUCACGUGCACGCAUCUUUAGUGUAAAUAAAGGUACUUCAAGUUGGA